UACUAGCACGAGUCCGAUAGCAAACAAGUACCGUGAGGGAAAGUUGAAAAGUACUUUGAAGAGAGAGUAAACAGUACGUGAAACCGCAUGCAGGUAAACGGGUGGCGUCAAGCUGCACGCCCAGAGGAUUCAGCCGGUUAGAGUGUAGUUAUGCGCUUGCGUGUCAAACGGCCAGUGUAAGAUUGGAUAGUCCACUGGAAGACAGUGGGCCCUGCCGCAAGGUGGGGAUGUGUGUACCGGGUGGAAGCCGGAGCACGCUAUUCGUCUAUUGGGCCAUCUAGCCGGUGCACUUUCUCUGUGGUGGACACCACGACCGGUGGAACUGCCAGUCUGCCAUGGUUAACUAUCAUUCGACUUGGCUUCGGUCAUGUCGGGUGGUUCACAGGCAAUUUCGGUGAACGGCGUUGAUGCGGCCCCGGUCGCGUCCUCGUGUUAUCGGUAACCGGUUGUCCAUACGGGUCGGUGCGAUUGUUUAUGGCCGUCGCAUUGUACCUCGUGGAUCAUGGUGGUAAGAAUAACUGUGCAGGGCACCGGAGUUUUCGGCCUCAAAUGCAGCCGGCAUGCACGCUAUAAGUGUUGAAUGCGGGUGCUCACGUGGUCUGCCUGUGACGCUUCUGACUGUCGUGUUGCCUGCGAAAAGUAGGUUCGGCAGUGUGGCGUUGCUUGAUGGAUUCGCGUUGGGUGCCUGCAGUGUCGGUUGUAGUGGGCCUGAUAGUCUGUGGUGUAGUGGUAGACGAGCUACCCGACCCGUCUUGAAACACGGACCAAGGAGUUUAACAUGUGUGCAAGUCACUGGGUCCUACGAAACCCAAAGGCGCAAUGAAAGUAAAGCUCUGGAGUCAAAUCUAGAGUGAGGUGAGAUCCUACCGUGACUCCGCCAGCCUAUUCGGUCAGAAGCAGGCAUACCGCGCGGUGGGCGCAUCACCGGCCCGUCCCAUGAUGUGGUCAUUGGAAAAGGCUGUUGCUGGCUUCGGU
rnacentral:rRNA from 1 species